GGAGGUAUCGGGAGAGAAAAGGAUACAAAUCUCUCCAAUCUCUUUGGAGUGCACAGCCGCGGGACAUGGAUGGGACACAUGAAUAGAGGUCUUGGCAAGUUUCUGAGUAUGGGAGGAGCUAGAUUGAUUUGAUUUUUUUUUAUGCAAUGUGUUUGACUGUUGGUAGUUUUUAGUGAUUCUAAGCCUGUUUUGUCUCAAAACUCUGUCUAUCAUGUUCUCUGUGUUACUCCUUUCGCAGCACGGAUACGCUUAGUUCUUUUCAUGAGUUUUUUUAUUUCAGUUUGUGUGAGACAUUUCUCUUUUUGCCUUUCAAAUAAUAUAUGAAAAGUCAUAAUUACUCCCUCUCAAGUAUAGCCAAAGUCCGGAUAACCCUCUAAUUCAUGUCAUCUUGUUCAAUUUAGUACAAAUACAAUUUGUCUUUUUUUUUCUUCAUACACAAAUUGAAUUUUAAUCUAAAUAUACGUCAAAAAUAUAUAUUAUGAUUUUUUCAAUAUAUUUUGUAGAAUUUUUAUCCCAUGCAUUAAUUUAUUAAUAAAUAUCCUACCCCUGUCAACAGAAUGAGAAAAAAUUAUGAUUGGUUGUCUAACAUUUGUUAUGUUGCCUUCUAUCAUCUUGCAAUAUUUUAACUUAUAACUCCACUUGUGUAUGGAGAAAAAAAGGCAAAUUGUAUUCUUGCAAUAUUUUAACUUAUAACUCCACUUGUG
rnacentral:lncRNA from 1 species